rfam:Herbaspirillum seropedicae SmR1, complete genome.
CUUCCUCGAUCUGCUGCGGACAGAUGAAGUGGAUGUGGCUGUCGAUGCCGCCGGCGGUGACGAUCAUGCCUUCACCCGCGAUGAUUUCGGUAGCGCCACCGAUGGCCAUGGUCACGCCAGGCUGGAUGUCGGGAUUGCCGGCCUUGCCGAUGCCGGCGAUCUUGCCCGACUUGAUGCCGAUGUCGGCCUUGACGAUGCCCCAGUGAUCCACGAUCAGGGCAUUGGUGAUGACGGUAUCCAUCACGUCCGCAUGGGCGCGUUGCGACUGGCCCAUGCCGUCGCGGAU